UUCCUAUGGAGGCUUCCUCAAAGGAUGGGCUUGUCGUGUAUUUCUACCUGGAAUCAUGAUCAACUUGAUCGGAUAUGGGCGAUUAAAGGAAGACGGCCACCUUAUAAGCUCGAAAAAUUUGUGAGAUUUUUGCCUGCGCUUCCUGGGACAAAUACUUGUGGGCAACUCUUAACAGAUUUUCCAGUCAUACUCGAGAGACUAGGGUGAUACGGUGUGGAAUAAUGGGCAUGGUGUUGGAUCAAACCUAGCAUCUUUAUCGUUAAACUCCCCAUAUUUUCAGAGAUAGAAAAUGGAAAUUACCCGCGAAAGCAAUUCCGGGAAGCAAAAGCUUCCAGUAACCUUCGGAUCUAGUGUUUUUGAUCGAGCAUCUCAGAGCCUCUGUGAUCACAGUUUGCAUCCUCAGGGUAUUGCUGAAAGCGUAAACUCUUCUCAGAAAGUUCUUAUACAUGUCACCGGGAGGACAUUUUCUCCCUUUUCUUUUGCUGAAUA